AGUGAACGCUGGCGGUAGGCCUAACACAUGCAAGUCGAACGGCAGCACAGAGGAGCUUGCUCCUUGGGUGGCGAGUGGCGGACGGGUGAGGAAUACAUCGGAAUCUACUCUGUCGUGGGGGAUAACGUAGGGAAACUUACGCUAAUACCGCAUACGACCUACGGGUGAAAGCAGGGGACCUUCGGGCCUUGCGCGAUUGAAUGAGCCGACGUCGGAUUAGCUAGUUGGCGGGGUAAAGGCCCACCAAGGCGACGAUCCGUAGCUGGUCUGAGAGGAUGAUCAGCGACACUGGAACUGAGACACGGUCCAGACUCCUACGGGAGGCAGCAGUGGGGAAUAUUGGACAAUGGGCGCAAGCCUGAUCCAGCCAUACCGCGUGGGUGAAGAAGGCCUUCGGGUUGUAAAGCCCUUUUGUUGGGAAAGAAAUCCAGCUGGCUAAUACCCGGUUGGGAUGACGGUACCCAAAGAAUAAGCACCGGCUAACUUCGUGCCAGCAGCCGCAGUAA
rnacentral:rRNA from 1 species